UGGGGAAUCUUGGACAAUGGGGGCAACCCUGAUCCAGCCAUGCCGCGUGAGUGAUGAAGGCCUUAGGGUCGUAAAGCUCUUUCGCCUGUGAAGAUAAUGACGGUAGCAGGUAAAGAAACCCCGGCUAACUCCGUGCCAGCAGCCGCGGUAAUACGGAGGGGGUUAGCGUUGUUCGGAAUUACUGGGCGUAAAGCGCACGUAGGCGGACCAGAAAGUUGGGGGUGAAAUCCCGGGGGCUCAACCCCGGAACUGCCUCCAAAACUAUUGGUCUAGAGUUCGAGAGAGGUGAGUGGAAUUCCAAGUGUAGAGGUGAAAUUCGUAGAUAUUCGGAGGAACACCAGUGGCGAAGGCGGCUCACUGGCUCGAUACUGACGCUGAGGUGCGAAAGUGUGGGGGAGCAAACAGGAUUAGAUACCCUGGUAGUCCACACCGUAAACGAUGAAUGCCCAGUCGUCGGAUAGCAUGCUAUUCGGUGACACACCUAACGGAUUCAAAGCAUUCCGCCUGGGGAGUACGGUCGCAGAUUAAAACUCAAAUGAAUUGAC
rnacentral:rRNA from 1 species